rnacentral:rRNA from 1 species
AAAGGGUGCGUAGGCGGUUUAUUAAGUCAGUGGUGAAAGACGGUCGCUCAACGAUUGCAGUGCCAUUGAUACUGGUAGACUUGAGUGGGAUUGAGGUAGCUGGAAUGGAUAGUGUAGCGGUGAAAUGCAUAGAUAUUAUCCAGAACACCAAUUGCGUAGGCAAGUUACUAAGUCUCAACUGACGCUGAUGCACGAAAGUGUGGGUAUCAAACAGGAUUAGAUACCCUUGU